UGGGCCCUGGGAAAUUCCUAGGAAGGGAACGGAGCUGUUCCCUAUUUCUCCGGUUUCGGAGGCACUGGGGUUGGGGGUGAAAAGAGUAAUAUUGUCCCCAAACCCUGUGAUCGGGUCACAGCCUUAAAGCCUCCCACUCUUUCCUCCCCCAGCUGCGGAAAAACCUGGAGUCACAGUGACUAUGUCCCCCACGAUCACCUCUCCGCUCCGUGAGCGCCGGGACUGGAGGGGAAGGAAAAUCGUGGAAUGUCCCUGGACAAGGGCUCAUGGGGCACAGGGCGACACUGAGGCUGGCAGGGGCUGCCUGCAUAGAACAGGGCCCUCGUCCCUGCCCUUCCUCCGGGUGUGAGCCACAGUGAGCAACGGGGAUGGAGAGGGCUGGGAUAGCGAAGGGUGGCCGCCAGGGGGAGCCUUUCUUCCAGGACUGGGCCCUGCCAACCUCCCGGCUCAGGAGAGGCAACCACGUCCGGGCAGUCCUGGCAGGGGAAGAGGGAGGAAGCCCUCCUGGUUCAUUUCUGGCUGAAGGGGCGCCUCUGGCUGGGAGGGUGAGUAUUGAGGGUUAGAACCACACACCGGAGGGUAGGGCUGCCAGGAACCCCCCCCCAGACCCUCCAUCAGGGCUGUGCCCGGCACUAUGGCCCUGGGACAGCAGGUGCCGCUUCCACUGCCAGGCCCGCGGGGAAGCAAGUGUCUAGCUCGGCAAGGCUGAGGAAAGCGCAGCCCAGGUAAGUUCCCCGGGAGGGCAGGCCCCACUCUCCGAGGGCUGCGGGCCGCUGGCAGGGACCCCACAGCCCGGAGGUCAGUGCCCAUGCAGCUGUGGCGGCAGCUGGGGAGCAGGCACGCCUGGCUCCCACGGGCAGGGCCGGCAUAAGAGCUGAGCCCAGGGGACUCUCGGGGUAUCAUUUCUCCUACAACCCUACAGAGCUGGUUAGCUGGGCAGGGACCAGAGCUUGGCCUCCGGCUCCCUGGAUCUCUUUCCCUCUGGAGGGGAAGCGGAGCCUCCUUGCUCUCUCCCGCGGGCACCCUGGACAGCUCUUCCUCCUUCGGCCUCCGCCUGAGGCUGGAGAAAGCCUUCACUUGGGCUGAGGCUGCUGCUUCCUUUAAUCCUCAGAACCCCGGGGUGGGAGGGGGAUGUAGAAUAAAGACACAGAACUCAGGACUGGGAGGGGCUGUGUCCAUCUUUCAUAGUGGCCAAGCUAUGGUCACUAUGACUCCCGGGAGUCACUGACCGGGGGAGAGUGUGGAGCAGGUCUAGGGGCCUUGAUGGGCAGUGGAGAGGGCAGCAAGUCUGACUUUGACACUUCCCAGACGUGUGACCCUGGCCAAGUCACUUCCCCCCAUCUGCCUCAGCUUCCUCAUCUGUGAAAUGAGCUGGAGCCACCCAUGUUCUCUGCCCAGGAAACUUAGAGGGAGACGGAAGGAAGCAACCCAACACCCAUGACAUUAUGGUGCCAGAAGGCCGUAGUUGCGCGGAGGGAGAGGGAGAACCCGGCCCUCUCCCACCUUCACUCUCAUUCCCAUUUCCCCCCUAGCAUCCUUCAUCCCCCAGUCGGGCCCAGGCAAAGUGGCCACACACCCGGCCCCAUCCGGGGAAUUGGGGGCCUUGCCGCUCGGCCCCAUCCGGGGAGUCAGGGGCCACGAGGGCCACAGGGCGCACACUUGGGUUCUCUUCUCUCCCAGCAUCUUCUGCAAACCCUGCUUGUCUCUGAGCCCAGCCCUGGGGACAGUGUGAGCCUCCGGAGCCAAAAUGGGCAGUAAGUGGGGGAGCAGCUGAAGCCCAGGCUCACUCCAGUUCCGGAGCCUCAGGCCCAGCCUGGCUUCCUUCUCCCCUGGGAAGGCCCAGGAUGCUGGAACCACAGUUGCUGGAACCACGGUUGCCUUUCCUCUGGGAAGGGGCCCCACCCAGAGCAGCAGAACCCGGCAGCAUCCUGGAGCCGGCGGUGAUGAGGGACAAUAACUCGGGGGGGGCAGACCCCAGCCCCAGGACAGGGAGCGUAACGGGGUCACGGGGUCUCAUUCUGAGGGGCCCUGGAGGAGAUGACAACGGGCUUGUCCCCUCCCAGUAGGGAGAAGACAGAACCAGGGCUGAGGCACUAAGCUUGGAUUUCUGGAGGAGAGAAGGAGACAUCACAGACCAGGACAGCAUUGCUCCCCCCCACGCUGCCACCAGAGGUAGGGGGGUGCAGGCCCUCAGCAGAAGCUCCGUCUCACAGCUAGACUGGGAGCCUUGUGGGCCCGUGCCUCAGCAGCCCACUUCUCUCCCAGGAUCCCCCAAAGCUUCCCUCUUGGCUCUGCUGAGCCCUCUGCUGGCCCCAGGGGGCUGCACCAAAAGCCAUUCCCAGCCAUCUCCCAGGGACCUCAGCCCUUGGCACAAAGGACCCCAGCAAGGAGACAGGCUGACAUCCACCUCCCGACCUCAAGAACUAAGGACUCCGGCAUCCACAGCUGCAUCUCUUCCCACAGACCGGGCCAGAACAAGGACCCAGAGCCAGGGAGGCCCCACAGGACUGACGGACCAAUCGCUGCCCAAGCCCUCCCCUCAGCCAGCCCCAGCCCCUUGAUGACCUCAGGGGGAAACAUGACCCUCCUGGCUCAGGGCCAUCCCAGAAAGCAAAGUUUAGUCUGUACAAGGGGAAUUAGAGAGACUCCAGGAGACCAGAGAGCCUGCCCAGCAUGGACCAAGUCCCUUUUGACCUGUGACCACCAACCAAGGGGCCAUCACAGCCUGGCCCAGAAACCCUGAUCUCCUGUGACUCUGGAGCUCCUAGGUGAGUGGAAAAGCCUGGAGCCUCUGGAGACAGGGGGCAAACUCUCAUGUCUUCUGCCCCCAGGACAGGGGCAUUAUUAUGGGACUGUUUGUUUUAUUCCAUAAAUUUAAAAUAAAAUAAAGGAAAUUUUUUAA